GCUUGUCUCAAAGAUUAAGCCAUGCAUGUCUCAGCAUAAGCUUCAACACGGUGAAACUGCAAAUGGCUCAUUAAAGCAGUUACAAUUUAUUUGAUGGUCACUGUUACAUGGAUAACUGUGGUAAUUCUAGAGCUAAUACAUGCGCCCAGACCCAACUUUUAGGAAGGGUUGUAUUUAUUAGGUACAGAACCAAUGCAAGCUCCGCUUGACCUUUUGGUGAUUCAUGGUAACCGAACGAAUCGCACGGCACCAGCUGGCGAUGGACCAUUUCAGUUUCUGACCUAUCAGCUUCCGACGGUAGGAUAUGGGCCUACCGUGGCAAUGACGGGUAACGGAGAAUUAGGGUUCGAUUCCGGAGAGGGAGCCUGAGAAACGGCUACCACAUCUAAGGAAGGCAGCAGG
rnacentral:rRNA from 1 species